rnacentral:rRNA from 1 species
AGCGCAGGCGGCUUGUCAAGUCAGAUGUGAAAGCCCACGGCUCAACCGUGGAAGUGCAUUUGAAACUGGCAGACUUGAGUAUCAGAGGGGAAAGUGGAAUUCCCGGUGUAGAGGUGAAAUUCGUAGAUAUCGGGAGGAAUACCGGUGGCGAAGGCGACUUUCUGGCUGAAUACUGACGCUGAGGCUCGAAAGCGUGGGGAGCAAACAGGAUUAGAUACCCUGGUAGUCC